CCUGAACACGCACACCAGGAGCUGGUCUGUCAGGACACUGCCCAGAGAAGGGCGGAGGAGUGUCAUCAAACUCAUGAUGAUGGGAAGGGCGGAGGAGCGUCAUCAUACUCAUGACGAUGGGAAGGGCAGAGGAGUGUCAUCAUACUCAUGAUGAUGGGAAGGGCGGAGGAGUGUCAUCAUACUCAUGACAAUGGGAAGGGCGGAGGAGUGUCAUCAUACUCAUGACCAUGGCUGUCAGGACACCCACAGCCACCUCUGAGGGGUUGCCCCCGCGCACAGGUGACAACAGCAAGGCUGCCUGAGACCCCAUGCAGCACAGGAGGAAGGAAACCCUAGGAAGAGGGCCCUUGGGCAGGCAGCUGCUCCAGGAACCACUGCCCAGAAGUGAGCUCCAGCCACCCCAGGUCAACAGCUCACGGACUCUGGGCCAAACCAGGCCCUGCACAGGAGGACCCUUGCCUGGCAACCGGGACAAAGAUAAGCCUCUAGCGUCUGGGCCUCAAACCAGCCAGGCUGGGCCCAGGAGGCGGGAGAAAUUACUCUGAGAAUUCAUAAUAAUAAAAGCAGGAAUCGAUAUCAUCAUGGCAGCUAUGUAGACAGUACAAACCUUGCAUGUUAGCUCAUUUUAUCAUCUCAACAACCCGAAAACAAAUGAACUAUUUAGUAACAUCCCCGUUUUACAGACAGGAAAACUGAGGCCCAGAAAGCUGCCCUCCAGGUAAUGGCCCAGGGUACAGAUUCCACAACAAAGCCAAGCCGCUGGGCUUGAAUCCUGGUCCAGCUGCUCACUGUGUGAACCUUGGGCAAGUUAUUUACAGGCGGCUUUUUUUCUUCAGCAUCCUCAUCCGGCAAAUGGGAAUAGUUACAGGGUUGCAGUUAAACAAGCUGAUGCAUGUUAACUGGUGGAAAUGUGCCUGGUACGAUCAGAAAAGACUUCAAGUGUUAGGCUAGGCUGGCGACAGGGUGCUGAGCAGGCUGGGGGAGGUGGCACUGAAGACAGAAAACGUGGACAUCCAGAAACUCCAUCUAACAGAUGUAAGACUCUUCAGAUUAUCUAAGCCGGGCGUGGUGGUUCACGCCUGUUCCCAGCACUUUGGGAGGCCGAGGUGGGUGGAUCACCUGAGGUCAGGAGUUCAAGACCAGCCUGGCCAACAUGGUGAAACCCUAUCUCUACUAAAAAUACAAAAAUUAGCUGGGCGUGGUGGCACUUGCCUGUGAUCCCAGCUACUCAGGAAGCUGAGGCAGGAGAACUGCUUGAACCCGGGAGGCAGAGCUUGCGCAACAUUGUGCCACUGCACUCCAGCCUGGGUGAUAGAGCAAGACUCCAUCUCAAAAAAAAAAAAAAAAGACUAUUCGGAUUAUCUAUUUCAUCUUGUGUCAGUUUUGUUUUCCAAGUAAUUUGCCCACUUCACCUAAGCUGUUGAAUUUGUUGGAAUAAAAUUGU
rnacentral:lncRNA from 10 species